rnacentral:lncRNA from 1 species
GUGCCGAAAACUUAAAAUCUAUUUAAUACUGUCAACAGUGUUCACGACUACACUGACCUCGAAAAAGACAUUUUUUUCACUCUCAAACUGGUGCAGAGACAAAUAGCUACUCUAAGUGCUUCCAAAACUAUAGUAUUAAGUUAUACGCGGAAAACACACCACGUGCAAUUUCCAUACAACCUUCGGGAUGCUCCACUGCCCAGGGUCGAUGAAAUGAGAGAUCUAGGUGUGUACUUGAACAAAACGCUAAGCUUCUCUUCACACGCUAAAUAUGAAAAGCAAC